GACGAACCGUGCGAACGUUGUUCGGAAUCACUGGGCUUAAAGGGCGCGUAGGCGGGCGGCCGCGUCCGGGGUGAAAUCCCACGGCUCAACCGUGGAACGGCCUCGGAUACGGGCGGCCUCGAGGGGGGUAGGGGCAUCUGGAACUGUGAGUGGAGCGGUGAAAUGCGUUGAUAUUCACAGGAACUCCGGUGGCGAAGGCGAGGUGCUGGACCCCAUCUGACGCUGAGGCGCGAAAGCCAGGGGAGCAAACGGG
rnacentral:rRNA from 1 species